UUGUAGAAAUGUGCUAACAAGGCUUCUGGCCUUGAGCUGGGCUUCACAGAGAUGUCUACAUUUUUUAAGAUGAGAAGAAGAUAUUAAUUGGGCUCCAUGGUAACAGCUGGCAGGGGAAGAAAGAAAGGGGAGAAGAAGCUCUCCCCUUCUCAGGUGUUGUCCUUGAAGUAUUUAACUUGCCUAAAACAGUGAAGGAAAAAGCUGCUUUUGUGUGAAUUUCUGCAGACUGUGAACUUCUGAGCCUCUCCCCUUACAUGUUGGGUAUAAAACUCUGAAACUUCCUGAACUUGGGGUUCAGGGGAUUGAUUGAUUACAGCAAAGGCUGUACCCUCUGAACCUGGCUGCAGCCAAAUAAAACUGUUUCCUGCUACCUUCGGUGCCUUGCCUCAUUUGUCCCCACAACAUUUUUGGCGACCCAGAUGGGACACGGGAGGUAAGGAAGGCUAUUCUGCCUCUCUUGUCUCCGGGGACAGGCUUCCCUGGGGCUGUAGGGGACAAAGUUCCCCUUGGCUGCCCAGGCCACUCUUAGCCUGAAGGAGGAUCCACUCACCCAGCACCUUGGGGCAGCCACCCCUGAGCACAACAGAACCCACAGGCAGCAGGAACCAGAAUUAGGGUUUUGGAGCACCGCCCAUCUGAACAGCUUUGGCUAAUCAAAUGUGAAAAUGUGGAAACAGAGGAUUCGGAGGGCCAAUGACAAACAAUGUAUGCGAAUUGAUAGAUGCCAGCAACACAGCAAGUGUGGGAAUAAAGAAAAACAGGCUGUUCAGAAUCUAAGUUUCUGAGCCUGGCCUCCAAUUUGUGAUCCUCUUGCCUCAGCCUCCCGAGUCACUGGGAUUACAGGGAGAACAACAGCCGAUUUGGAUUCUAGAGAGACUAACCAAAGUGAUUUCUACAGACCAAAAAGAAGAUGAUUUGACUCAAAUCCAUAACAGCUGAUAUCCAGAGCCCCAGCUUGGCUAUUCUUACAUCUGCGACAGUGAUUAACCAGGAUGCUUUUUUCAAUAUCUAUUUUAUUAUUGCCUUUUCCCACAUCAUAAAGUUCUAUUUUAUUUUUUGAGCUCAUACAGACCUAGGUUAAUGUUUUUAUGAUCAGUUUUAUUUUUUGACUGUGGAGUUUUAAACACUGCAAUGGAGAUUUCACCUGUGUAAAGCUACAAGGCCUUCACUAUUGUCUUAUGUGUUGCACGUUUGUGUGCACACUUGUGUUUUGUGUUGUAUGUCUGUAUGUGCGUAUGUCCAUAUAUCAUAUAUGAGGAGCGCUAAUGAAAAAAUGGAUCCGAAUUUUUUUUAAUUCACGUGAUUUUAAUGGUUUAAUUUAAAUUGGGUAAACAGCUGUUGAGGAUUGUUUUAAUAUGUGAACAAAUAAGGAGGUUAACAGAUCUGUUUGUUUACUUUCACCUUUCCUUUUCAUUAUAUUUAAUAAUUCUGUUCAGGAUAAUGUAAAUUGUUCAGAAAAUUGUUUUCUUAGUACCUGUUGGAAUGUUACAUAAUUUUUUUUAGCAUCAUUGCCAGAAUUCCUAUCUUCAUCCCAGUGCCAGUGAAGACAAAGAUAAAACCAAACUACAGCUUCUUCGAUAGUUAUCACAACAAACUGUAUAAACUGAUGCAUCAAUGAAUAAUAACUCAACAAGUAAUGCUCAAUCAAGGAGUCGAUUUACUUUGGGAGGAAAUGGACAUAUUGAUAGAUUCCUCUGCUUUGAACUGCUCACAGAACUUGCCUGGACUACAUAUCACUUGUAUGCAUUGUGAACUAUCUGUUGGUGCAGCGAAUUGUGGUAGUGCUGGCGUAUCUUUGCUGAUGGUGUCACUGGUGGUACAAUUUUUCCAAAGGAGCCGUCAAUUGGCUUGAUGUCGUGGCAUUUCUGUAUCCUCCUCCCUUCUGCUAGUGAUGGUCUAAAUUUUGGGGACCAACAGAGGUGAGGCAAAGAACCUCAACCCCCCCCACUGGCAUAAGGCCAAAUUUGGGGGCCAACAGAGGUGAGGCAAAGAACCUCACCCCCCCACUGGUGCAAAGGCCUAUCCACAAGUAUGGCUGUAUGCUGGACUGGUAGUCAGUGAUGGGUAUGAUCCAAUUGCAGUGGUACCAACCUAAGACAGGAGGCUGACGCCUAGAGGUCAGCUCAUCCGAUGACGGGUAAGGACAAUAUGUUGUAUUGGACAACCUAACAGGCAUGGUCCCUAGCCACAUUGCUUGUUGUUUAAUUAAACAGAAGGGGGGAGAUACUGAGAGCCACAGCCGAGUGGGAAUGGCCCCUGGCAUUUUGCCAACAGUAUUGGUUGACAGGCGAGGCAUUACUAUCCGCCUCAGCCGCUACUUUGGAGUUCUCACGCUACUUUGGAGUUCUCGUGGGGAUUCCCGGGGAUUCUCAGAGAGUUCCCAUUGGUUGGGGAAGUGCAGGAGGAGGGAUUUCCGGAGGAGAUAUUUCUGGUGGCUGGUUCCUGGACUAGCUGCAUGGGGUUCGGGAUAGUUCCC